AAAUCGGUUCUUUUUAGAGCCACCAUUAUGUACAAAGCCGACCAAG
rfam:Habropoda laboriosa contig13497, whole genome shotgun sequence.